CCCAGCCCAGCUACACCAGCCGGUUUCGGUUUGCAUCUCUGUCGCUCUGCAGAGUGGAGACGACGAGGCAGCCAGGCCGGCCGGAUCACCACCGCCACCGCGCCGCGCCAACCCUUGUACAGCCAGCCGGACUCCCUCGCUACGGCGGUUGCUGCCGGCGGCGCAUCUGGUGUCACGAACAUCACCACCUCUCGCCGGUAGCCGGCCGGCCGGCCGGCCGUCCAUGCCCGUGGCGACCACCGGCAUCAGCAGGGCAAGCACGGGCACGGCGGCGACUCCCGCUUCAUCCUGCGCUGCGACACAUCAGCCUCGUCCUCACCUUCCGCACACUUCCCCUCCGCCUCUCGAGGAGCGAGGUGAAUAAGAGGCUCGUUGACACCGAAGUUGAUUGCCUUCAGUGCUGUGAACAAAUUUAAGGAGGAUUGCGAGAUGCUGGAACAAACAUUUGUUCCUUACCUAGCCUGGUUGGAUUCUGCAGCUUCGAACCCCACACACAACCCAGAGGUGUCUUCCAGCUGCUCUGGUAACUAUUCCUACAUAUAGGAGGAAUUAUGCUCUUGAAAAGGUUGAGUAACCUAAUAUUGAUAUUCAGAGAAUUAUGCAUGUGGAGGAGAAGCAACUGGUGUGGAAUUUCCGUUUUUCUUAUCUUAGAUAGAAGAAAGCUCUUACAAAGUUUGUCUGUUCAGUGGAAGUGAGUGAUAUCCAAGUUAGUUAAAACAUCCAGUUAUCCUUAUAUCUCAGCACGGCUUAUGUUUUGUACUGUUGUAUUUCGUAUGUGCAUCAGAGGAAAUGUGCUUUCUAGGCAUGUUGGACCGUACGAGUCCGAGACUUCAUUAAUAUAAUAUGGUCAUGCCCAGUGAUCAAUACAAAGGACACUGGAAUUCGGUUUCUAAUGUCACUUUUUUUUCCAUUUCAAACAUUAUCUGUGUUGAAAGGAAUCUAUGUCGUAACUUCUGCAUGUCUAUUUCACAUUCCUUGUUCUAAUUUCUAAAUGACAAAUUGACAAGGCAGCCUGUUAUAUAAUAUUGAGCUACCGACUCCACAUUAUCUUGAUAUAAUUUGCAAGGUUUAGUAUUGUGAUCGUGUGUGGGAAGCUAAAGAAGCUGUCGUAUUAUUGAUUGGAAAAUGGAAAGUGUGAACCAAUUGAUGUGAUGAUGACUCAGUCAGCAUUUGGUUAUCAUGCCAAUUCGUUCACUGUCAGCAGCUACACUUAUCCUUACUAGUGUUUCACCUAAGAGUCAUCCGUAUUCAAGAGUGCCUUAAAAUCCACCGCGUCUUACAUUUAAGUCGGCGAAUGGGGAAGCAUCCAAGAUAAUUUUCAGAAAGGGAGAUGACCUCCGCCAAGAGCAGCUGGAACAAAGGCAGUGGCACGGCCUUGAGUGGUGUGACCAUGUUGUGGGAUGUCCUAUACCGGUCCCUAACAUCCACGUCGCACGGUUGCAUCCCCACGGGCAGCCUCCACUUGAACCUGUGCAGCAGGAUGCGAGGAUGAGUGUCACAAUCCUCGUGGCCAUCGGCAUCCCAGGGCAGAUUCUUCUUUUAUUAUGAUCUUUUACUUUUGUUUCUACUCGACUCAGAUUGAUGUAACAAUGGCUAGCUAGCUACUGCCUUGCAUAUUGGUAAAUUAGUUAUACUACUGCCUUACAUUUGUUUUUCAUGCACUAUUGUUCUUCCAGGGUGAUCUCUGUUGUGAUUCCCUGUGUUCAUUCGGAGCAGGGGGCUGAUUAAUAGCUAUUCUUCCGGUCGCUUAAAACUGAUGUAACUUAGAUUCUUGUAUGUAGCCGUGAGGGCCAUCAUGGGCUCCACAUGUGCCCUAUUGCCGGCCCUUGAUGCGGCGCCCCAGCCUCCCUAUAGAGGACCGGAAGCUUGAAGUAGCAGGAGCAGCAACAUCUCUGACCCUUUCCUGAGGAGCUGCAGGUCCUAAACAAGGUCCUGGCCGAGGUGAGACCACCCUAAUGGAUCCAGCAAUUUCCCCUCCAUCAUUCUCACCUCGUCACGGAUUCUUACCUCGCUACGGGCAAGACCACCCUAAUGUUGGGUGGUGGAUGGCUCGGGGCUGGUAGUGGUGCAGCUCCUUGACAGUGGAACGCUCCAUUUAUCCUAUGUUAGUGGGUUCAAUGUUGUUGCUGGUGGUUUGCUCGUUCGACCGCUGACUUUGUGACCAUGUUGUCUUGUGGGUGGUUACAACGUUGGGAAAACUUUGUUUCGCCAUUCUAGUUUUUGCUCACUAUGUUAUGUCACUCUAGAAUGUGACAUCUCACUUUUAUCACACUUAGCUUUUGACAAUAUAUCACAAAUGCCAGGCCGUGGAAAAAAGCAAAUAUUUUUCAUUUCA